AUUUCUACCUGGGCACAGUGAUGCCCUGAACCAAAUCAGGUUUCUGGUAGAAGACAGAAACAGGCGUAGAUAUUGGGCAGGCAAUUAGCAGUGCUUCCUGUCUUACAGAAAACUAAGACUCAUAUAUGUGAAGGAAUUGAUCCAAGAAUUCACAGUUAGUAAGUGAUGGAGCUAAUAUUCACACUUGGCUUCUUUGGACUCCAAAUGCUUUUGUGUACUGGGUUAUAAAGUUAUAAUGGAAGGCUGGUGCUGGCUUCUUGCCUUAACAUGUAGCACUAAAAGACUGGUAGUUUAUCCUGUAGGAAAGGAUGGCUUUGGACAUAUGGAGAAGAAAAAACAGAAUAUUUCUAGGAGAUGAAUUUAUUUCACCUGCAGUGAGGAACACAGGAUAUUGGUUCCAGUUUUGUCACUGACUUAUAACUUAGCUCCUGGACCUGAAGCAGACCUGCAGAGAGGAUCAAGUGCAGAGACAAGCUGCUGCUGAGAUCAUCAUAGGGGACCUCUUCUAACAUAUGAGUUCCUGAGGAAGUGCUGUGACCUUCCAAUGCUGCCACUGGUAGUCUCAUUUCAAAGAGUAAAAUGUGAAAAUCCAAUGGCAGCAGCUAUUGUGAUAUGCCAGACAGCAGGAAUUGGGACUAAAAAUCAAGGGAUACUUGUGAUAAUAGAUCCAUAGUACUUUGGAGCUGGAAGAAACCCAGCUUCAAAAAACAGCUUGAUUUGCAGCUCUUCAUUCAAAAAGAAUCCCAUCCAGGGUAUGACAUUGAACUUACUCAUCACGUCUCUAUAGUGUCUUCUGGUAUGUAAUACUUUCUCAGUCUUUCUUUAUUUCCAUAACCUUGAUUAACUGUUUUGAAGAUUACUGGUCAGCAUUUUGUAGAAUGGCUGUCAGUUUGACUUUGAUGUUUUUCUUAUGAUUAUGUUAGGGGUAUGGGGUUUGAAGAAGCAUACCAUGGGAGCGAAGUGCUCUUCUCAUCAUAUCAGGGGGUACAUAAUAGCAACAUGGUUUAUCUUUGAUCAUAUUAAUCUGGAUCACUUGGUUAAGAUAGUGCCUGCGAGGUUUCUUUUUUUGAGAUGGAGUCUUGCUCUAUCGCCCAGGCUGGAC